GAUGAACGCUGGCGGCGUGCUUAACACAUGCAAGUCGAACGAGAAGUGGAGACGGACACCUUCGGGCGGAAGACUUUAUUUCGAGUGGCGGACGGGUGAGUAACGCGUGGGUAACCUGCCUCAUACAGGGGGAUAACAGUUGGAAACGACUGUUAAUACCGCAUAAGACCACAGCACCGCAUGGUGCGGGGGUAAAAACUCCGGUGGUAUGAGAUGGACCCGCGUUCGAUUAGCCAGUUGGCGAGGUAACGGCCCACCAAAGCGACGAUCGAUAGCCGAUCUGAGAGGAUGACCGGCCACAUUGGGACUGAGACACGGCCCAAACUCCUACGGGAGGCAGCAGUGGGGAAUAUUGCACAAUGGGGGAAACCCUGAUGCAGCGACGCCGCGUGAGUGAAGAAGUAUUUCGGUAUGUAAAGCUCUAUCAGCAGGGAAGAAAAUGACGGUACCUGAGUAAGAAGCCCCGGCUAACUACGUG
rnacentral:rRNA from 1 species